AAAUUGAAGAGUUUGAUCAUGGCUCAGAUUGAACGCUGGCGGCAGGCCUAACACAUGCAAGUCGAACGGUAACAGGAAUCAGCUUGCUGAUUCGCUGACGAGUGGCGGACGGGUGAGUAAUGUCUGGGAAACUGCCUGAUGGAGGGGGAUAACUACUGGAAACGGUAGCUAAUACCGCAUAAUGUCGCAAGACCAAAGAGGGGGACCUUCGGGCCUCUUGCCAUCGGAUGUGCCCAGAUGGGAUUAGCUUGUUGGUGGGGUAACGGCUCACCAAGGCGACGAUCCCUAGCUGGUCUGAGAGGAUGACCAGCCACACUGGAACUGAGACACGGUCCAGACUCCUACGGGAGGCAGCAGUGGGGAAUAUUGCACAAUGGGCGCAAGCCUGAUGCAGCCAUGCCG
rnacentral:rRNA from 1 species